ACGUGGCAACAAAGACUGGAAGUCUGGAACGCCCACAACAGAACUGCAGAGUCUCGCAAAGUCAGGCUGCACUCCUCCACCAAACCCUGUAAUCUUAUCUAUUAAAAUUUAUAACAUCAGCGUCACGAUAAUUUCGGAGAACUCCUAAAAUAAUGAAAACCUUCAACAGGCCUUCAGACUGCACUCUUCUACAAAACACUGUGGGUACUAAUCUUACUAUAUACAUUGAAAUUUGUAACAUCAGCAUCUGGGAAACUUGUUAAACUUCUAAAAUAAAGGUAGUACUUCAUAAACAGUGCUUACAGUUCACGUUAUAGAGCAAAGGAAACUUACUUGAUUACAAACCAAGAGCAGCAUGUACUUCAAGUUACUAGAGGUGGGAUGUCAACAACAGGGAUACAAGAAGAAACAGGCAACGUUAGGAGUUUCUAAAGGAGAUUAAUAAUCAUACGCAAGACCAAGAGGUAUAAAUAGUGUACCUCUUGGUCUUGCGUAUGAUAUCGUUCUUCCUGUCUACUAUCUCUGGGAACAUUCCAUAUAUGCUCGGUGACUAAUAACUUUGAUUUAACCCAGGGUGUUUACAGAAUGAAUGAUAUUUGCUUAAUUUUUGCAUAUACUCUGACUUAUCUUCUAUUGUAACCCAGGAAGCCAUAAAUACUCAGUGUCUUGGAAUUUUCUAUUUAACGUAGGG